AGACAGGGUCAUAUUCUGUCACCCAGGCUGGAGUUCAGUGGCACAAUCACAGCUCACUGCAUCCUCUGCCUCCGGGACUCAGAGCCGAUCUUUCACCGUGUUGGCCCUGCUGGUCUCCGAUUCCUGGCCUCAAGUGAUCCACCUGCCUCAGCCUCCCAAAGUGCUAGGAUGACAGGUAUGCACACGCGCACCUCCCGGGCAGGCAGUGGACGCUGAGCAAACGGACGGACGGGCUGGAGGGCUGGCAGUGGGGUGCAGAAGCCAGCCAUGAGAACCCCUCAAGUACAGAUGUAAACCCCUCCCAACACUGGAAGAGGAAACAGAGACCAGUGCGCUGUGCAGUCUCACUUAACUAGAAUGCACAACUCCUGCUUUUAUCACCAUUCUGGGAAAUCCCCGCUGCAUUUCAUGGCCAGGGCAGCACUUCAUAGUUGGAAAAGGAUGGUGUGGACUUGCCGCAGAGGCCCUAGAGAAGGCCCUCCUGUGUUCCUGCUCUCCUUCUCAUCCGGCUUCUACCCCCACCCCACCCCCCAACAAAAACGCUACAGGUUAUAAGAUCUACAUUCUGAACCUGCCUUUCAGGGGCUAGGUGUGUUGUGUGUUGCACAGCUCUAGGGGUAGCAUAGCCUUGAUCAUCGGGGUGGAGGUGUCUAUUUACUAUGAUAUGAUGCAGCAGAUGGCAGUGAAGUGUCUUGAGGAAGAGGUGUUUUUAUCAUUUGAAGGUUAUGGGGUGUAAUAAUAAAGACUGCAAUUCACAGACCUUGAGCCUAGCAGGCCAAUGCCAAGGGCAGAACUGUAGGCCCCCACAGCACAGUUCCACAGAGGAAGGGGGCUGGUUAGUAAGGGGAAAGAAGGAUAGAAGACUGCAGUAAAUGUAAACAGCCGUAUUUUCAACAUAAUUUACUACAGGUCUCUGAAGUGUAUAUAAAAUGUUUUAGUGCAACAUCUUACAAAUAGUUUUCCUUUAAAAAACAGAAACAAAUCAACAGCUCUCUACAUCAUGCAUGGGUAGUUUUCUUACCCCAUCUUUUUUUUUCCUCAAUAAUUAACGCAGAGAAACCAUUGUUUGAAAAGAAUAUGAAAACUUGCUACAGAAACACCCGGUGAAAGAGGGUGUGGUCAUAUUCAUGUCCUAGAAUGCGCCUAGCACAGUGUAGUUUUUCAUAAAUGCAACAUUGUAGACAUAGAUGAAUCCAGAGUAUUCAGCAGUUUUCCUCCGUCUCAGAAGACUAAAGCUCCAGUAGACAAUGCGCAAUGAGGUCUCACAGCCACUGGAGGGCACCAUUACCAUCCAUCUGACAUCGCAUUUCCAUAGAAAUGGCCAAAGAAAGAAGGUCCUGGGGUUUUUCAUAGAAAGCUCAAAAAGUUCAACCUUUGAUGCUAUCCCCCAGCCCAAUACAAAAUACACAGAAAAAGCAAUUAUUAAAAUACUGGCUUCGGUUUCUUUUUUUCCUUUCAAAUUUCCUGCAAUUGCUUUACAUAUUUGUGUGCAGCACCUACUUCUUCAUCGCUGUGAACUGAAAUCUAAGAUUUCAAACUGAAAUCUUAGUUACACAUCCUAGUCCCAGCCAGCCCUCUGGCAACCUCCCAUUUAGACAGAGGAAACGCCAGUCAUCUUCCCUCAUUGACUCAGCCUAUAAAGUAGGAGUCAGCAAAUUCCCACUGAAAGCCCACAUCCCUGAAAUAAAGAAAUGGGGCAAAAGACCUUCUUUCUUCAUGACUGAGCCGUUCCUGUACCUCUAAUGUGUUGAUGCAGCAUAAUAAAUGAGAAUCAGCAUGUCAGGCAACAGCAGGAUUAAGGUGGUGGUGCCUGCACACUGUCUCACAGGAGGGUACGGUAUAUUUGGGGGAGAAAAGGCAGGUCUGUGUGUCUGUCAGAAAAUGGCUGAGCAAUCGCCGCCAUGCUCCCCUCAGCUGGGAAUCAGCAAAGUUAUCUGCCAAGCAGCCCAGGCCACCUGCACACCUGCAGACCCUUGAAGGAUCAGCACAGACAUUGGCCUGGGGAAUCCCACGGCCUCCCCUGCAGUCUGCUCGGUCUCAGAACAGGGCUUCACUGGAAUCUCUUAUCAGACUUAGUUCCAGAAUCCCUGAUGACUUUUUCCAAAUUGUGACCCCCUCUUGGGAUUCAGGAUGCAAGUUCCCAGAGUAAAGGAGAUGGCAUGCUUGGCCAGAAAAAUAUGGGAAAGCAAGGGUAUAAGAACAUCUUCAUAAAGAGAGCAAAAGGAAAUAUUUGUAACUGAUGAUGCCCUAAGAAGGACAAGCAUCUAGCCCAACAGUGUAAAAGAACAGGGUGACACCAGCCAUCAUGGGGCUCAAGGGGCCUUAAAAUAAAAAGCCACCAUAACAAUGAACAACCAAACAACCUAGAACCACAAGAGAGAUCAAGAAA